GACGAACGCUGGCGGCGUGCUUAACACAUGCAAGUCGAACGGAAAGGCCCUGCUUUUGUGGGGUGCUCGAGUGGCGAACGGGUGAGUAACACGUGAGUAACCUGCCCUUGACUUUGGGAUAACUUCAGGAAACUGGGGCUAAUACCGGAUAGGAGCUCCUGCUGCAUGGUGGGGGUUGGAAAGUUUCGGCGGUUGGGGUUGGACUCGCGGCUUAUCAGCUUGUUGGUGGGGUAGUGGCUUACCAAGGCUUUGACGGGUAGCCGGCCUGAGAGGGUGACCGGCCACAAUGGGACUGAGAUACGGCCCAGACGCCUACGGGAGGCAGCAGGGGGGAAUAUUGCACAAUGGGCGGAAGCCUGAUGCAGCAACGCCGCGUGCGGGAUGACGGCCUUCGGGUUGUAAACCGCUUUCGCCUGUGACGAAGCGUGAGUGACGGUAAUGGGUAAAGAAGCACCGGCUAACUACGUG
rnacentral:rRNA from 1 species